UGAAGUGUUCGUACUGUGUUGCAGUGUUCCGUGGUGAUACCGUUAAAUAAGAAUUUUUGUUGUAGCCUGACAGCGCUCAUUGGCGCUUAUUUGGAUAAAUUUCCGGGCUGCGGUUGGUUCAGCUCGGUACGCAAAAUUACCUCAACGGUGGAUUCACGAUAUAUUGUUGCUGGACGCCGUAUCUUAUUUAUUAUGAGGCAAAGAAGACGCGCGAACUGCGGCACGUUCAUUUACCCUGGUCAGCCCACAACUGCAAUACCAGAGUGACACCCCUCCGUUGGAGUGGCUUCAGGGAGCACUUGCUUCACGUGUAAGCUGUAACGAAAAUUUGUUAGCCACUUCAAAACAUGCGAAUUAAGUGAAGACGCACAGUCUCUCACAACUAAGGCCGGCAUGUUUGUGAAAAUUUGGCUUCGCAUUCUGACGUGGGAUGAAUGAGGAAGAAUUGUUGAAACGGUCAGCUGCAGAGCGGGAUAGGAUAUUCAGCUGCUAUGACCGCGGUAGAGAAAAUGGUGCUCAAAUUGACUCCUGGGAGGAUCCUGGAUACGAGGUUUAUCAUACCACAGAUAGAUAUGGCUUCAUACACGACAAGCGACUACCACAGAAAUUGGAUCCGAACGAAAGGAGGUUACAUCACGUGGAAAUGGAGAGAUUGAAGAAAUGGGAAAAGAUGAUGGAGAAUUGGAAUACUUAUGCCACUAAGGACAAGCUAAGACGUAGAAUAUACAAGGGCAUUCCUGACAGAUUUCGAGGCAAAGUGUGGGCUCUACUUUUGGGUAUUGAUAUCCUAAAGCAUGAGCAGGCUGGCAAGUACGAUGAAAUGUUACAAUUAGCGAGACAAUGGAGCACGGAGAUCAGACAAAUCGAUGCAGACGUUGCCAGGCAAUAUCGAGACCAUAUCAAUUAUAGGGAAAGAUAUAGCAUUAAACAACGUUCCAUGUUUUACGUUUUGGCCGCCUACAGUAUGUACAACAUGGAGGUCGGAUAUUGCCAGGGCAUGUCCGUAUUGGCUGGACUUCUCUUGUUGUAUAUGGACGAAGAAGAUGCGUUUUGGGGACUUUCCGUGCUUCUUUCGGAUAAGAAAUACAGCAUGCAUGGAUUCUACGUCGAUGGUUUUCCCAAACUGAAUCGAUUUAUCGAACAUCACGACAAGAUAAUGAACAAGUUCCUUCCCAAACUGAAACGAAAACUCGACAAAUGCGGAUGUGAUUCUAUACUUUAUGCCCUGAAGUGGUUCUUCGUUGUUUUUCAAGAAAGGACCCCAGUCAGCCUUGGACUUCGCAUUUGGGACGUAUUUCUCCUGGACGGAGAUCGCAUUCUGCCCGCAAUGGCGUACACAGUUAUGAAGAUGCAUAAACGAUAUUUAAUGCCCAUGGAAAGCCUCGAUGAGUUCUGCAAUUACUUGCAAAUUAAACUCGAGAAAGACUUUUGCUUUGACGAUGAUACCGUUAUUAGCUCCAUGGAGCGAAAUAUAGAGGAGCUCAAACGUGCCAAAUUAGAAUACCCUGGUCCACCGCUGCCGCACGAAUUGCCACGCUUUCCUUUCGGAACGUUUAAAGAGCCCUCAUUCACAAACAAGGUUGGUCGUCGUACCGAAGAGUUUAGCGAGGCGCAACACAUGAUGAGAGAGGCAGUGGCCCAGAGAAGAGAUAUGGCUGUCAUCGAAGAGACCAGAGGAAGCUCCACACCCGUAGAUCCGACGGGGUGUGGCGGUCUUGGGGGGAGCAAGUUUUCAUUCGAUCCGAGCCUAGAGGACGGGGUGUCUCCGAAUGGGUCAAGACGUUCCCUGGCCGACACGUCGGUGACCUCGACAGCGGACCUCUCCGUCUUCAGCUCAGCCGCCCGUUCCCAGGCCCUGGACAAUAGUUUGGACACCCAGAGCAACAUCUCUGACGGAAGUUCUGGCAGCGGUGGCCUUCCGACUCCAAGAGCCACUUCUCAUCAGCCUAGUCCGGAUAUUGUCAGGAUCUAUGUACCAUAUACCCCUCCUUCCCCGGCACUGGGUACAAACGAUGUCCCGCGACAUCUGCCCAGGACCCUAGAAACCAAUAAGAUUCGCAUCAGGGUAGACCCUGACCGUACUCCAGUGGUGGAAAACCUAAAACCCUUUACAUUAGAUAGCCCUGAACUCGAGCUCGACUUGAAAUAAUUCCGUAUGUUUAGCUAAAACGUCCACAAAUGGGACAUCUUAAGGGGCUAUACCACAAAAAUUACACAUUUUUUGCCAUUUUUUUUUCUCAAAAAGUAAUUAUGUCGCAAACUUGUUCUUUUUUCCAUGAAAGGUCGUAUGUAGGAGAAUACAGGAAAAGUUUUCUUUCUAGUAAAAAAUACAUAUUUACUUUUUUAUUAUUAGAAACGUAGAGUACUAAAAAAAAUUGUUUGUUGUUGGCGCGGGGGAUUGAAGUCUUGGUGAUUAGAAAUAAAAAAAUUCAAAAAGAUUCUUCAUCUGUAAGGCCGUCACUAUUGCCCGUACCUCAAUUAUAUCAUCAAUUAACAAAAUGGCGGCGUUUUUGGCAGAAGUGUUAAAAAAUACGUUUUUUGCGCUAUAAUUGAGGCAAAAGUAUGAGUUAAAAUUAAAAUUUUACCAUGACUGAGGUACCGGCGAAAGCAACGGCCUUACAGAUUCAGAAUCUUUUUGAAUUUAUUGUUUAACAUCACCAGGACUUCAAUCACUUGCGCCAGCAACAAACAAUUUUUUUUACUACUCUACGUUUGUAAAAAUAAAUAAAUAAAUAUGAAUUUUUUACUCAAAAUAAAAAUUUUCCUGUAUUCUCCUACAUUAGACCUUUAAUGGAAGAAAAGUUUGUUCCAUUCUUUGCAGUACUUUUUGAGAAAAAAAUUGUCAGAAAUAUGUAAUGUUUUCGACGUUCACAGUUGUAUAGCCCCUUAAGUCAAUUUGUAGCAGCCGAUUUCCGUUGCGUAUUGUAAUUUAGAUUUUAUUGCAGAAUCCUGAAUCACAAUGGGCAGGUUAGAUGCAAGUGCUGUCUUGCGCCAUCUACCGAGAAUAUUAGAAAUGAAUAUGAUUAAUAUUCGUGCGGAUCUUGGCCGUCUGUUCAAAGUGGAAUGUCCGUAAUUUAUGUCCUCUUUCAUUCCAAGUCCCACUUCUUGAAACAACGAUUUAUGCCAAUACGUUUAGUAAUAGGAAUUGAGUUUGACUCUUCUUUUUUUUCUUCAAAUAGGUCGUUUCGUGAAUGAUGCUUGCGUUCAAUUUGAAGCAGCUAAUUUUAAUAAGAUAAAAUUAUUUAAAUAUUUAUUUUCAAAUCCGAAAUGGUAUCUAAAUAUCCAGCACAGGUAAAGUAUCUCUUUUGUUUAAAUUUGAUUUUCUGGGACCUCGAUAACAGAUGGUUGUGAUAACAUAUGGAUAAAGGUCUGAUUACAGAUUUCGUGAGACGACCCCUUUCCCAAUAACUGACAGAAAUGAUUUGUGUCCUAUGUUCAGAAAAUCUAUGAUGGUGUGAGUCUUAUUACUGGUACACCAAUAACUUCUUGUCCAGGUUCUAUAAGAAUCUAGUUUCUUUAUUCCUAAGAUUUUGAAGGAUAUCACUCGAGCUAGACUCAAAGUUUUUCUCAUUAUUUUCUCAUUUUCUUAUAUAGACGUCUUAUGGUGUUGAAUAAAUAUUGUUGCAUUUGACAUAUGGAUAACCACUCCGCUAAUGUUAUCCUAUUAACAACUAUAAAUAUGACUAGGAAGCAUACUUUAAUUAAGCGAAUAGUGCUUUAUUGUUAACUCUAUUUAACAUCUAUAUUCAGACCUAUACAGCUUUCAUGUUGUAUUCCUGAAUACGUAUUAAGCACUUCGGGAAAUAAAAUAAUACUCAAGAUAAGUUGUCAACAAGACCUCAAUUGCAAUGUGUCUUUCUAAUGCUUUGGUUUGAUUACGUGAAACGUGAAUCCACCAACUGCAUACCUAUGUAAUUAAUAUCGUACCUUAUUAUAAGGAUUAGUGACCUGAGGUAUGCAUUAUGAGGGAAACUCCAUAUAGAUGGCUCAAAUGUUGGUAACUUUGGGACAUUUUUGUCGAACUCUUUAUUGAACACCAAUGAAACUUCAUGUUUAUAUUAAUGUAUAAUACAAAGAGCAAAUAUUAUUUUUUCAUGUAAUAAUCAUUAUUGUAUAUAGACGUAUAACAGUAUAUGCAAUAAUAACAUGUCAGAGGCGUCAAUUCGCUCUAAUCGGAUACAAUAAAAUAUGCAAAAACUUUGUUUUUCUUCAUUACACAGCGAGUCAUUCUUAGGGGCUUAGAAAAUAAUGUUACAAUUUUAGCAAAUAACAACUCUUCUAUUUUGCAAUAAAAUGUACAUAAUUCAAUAAUAUUGAUAAUGUCGUAGAUUCAUUAGAUGAAGAAUUUAAUGUUCUAUAGUUUUUCACCGGGAGAAUUUAACCGGUAUAAUAUUUUUUUCGUUGUUGUGUCCACCAAUUUGAAAAAUGUCAUUCAGCUAGAUGUCCAAAAUAACAGUUACUUUUAUUGUUUCGAUUACCGCGUUUAAUGAAAACCGCGUUUAAAGUAAUCGGGGAAAAAAGGUAUUUAUUUUGGAAGCUUGUAACCCUUUUCGCGCUAAUCUGGGAUUCCAGGGCUAUACAGCAAACCUUCUGACUCCUCGUGAAACUGUUGUUGUUCAGUUUAUUGUUGUUUGGGAAUAGUUCAAACCUCUGUCCCGCUUCUUUACCUGCGUUUUGUCAACGCGCAGCUGUAAAUUCAACUUUAGCUUCGUUUAGAUGUAGAGUAUCGCUCCAUAACUUUAGAAACAUAUUCUCUAUAUGAAUAAGUAUUGAUUUAGAUAAACAAAGAUAAAACCAUUUUUUUUUGUUUAACUAGUUCCAACUGGCCGGCGGAUUAGUAUAUGGAGUUCCCCCCUUAAUCUGCAGCUGGUGAAUUAACGAAGGGACCACUAACGAAUAAAAACACCAUAUGGCGUCUGUGGCAUAUCUGCAAUACCAACGCGACUAAUGCGAUACAAUUUUAUAGUAAUGAUUAAACCACAAAUAGGUAUUAUUCCCCUCAAACUUCUUUUGAGAAGUGCCACGCCGUUAAAGAUAUUGCUCGUACUCUCCUCAUUGGUAAUAAAGUCUUCAAUUGAAAGUACUCUUCAAACGAUCUGUUACAGUCCGAUAGAUGUUGCCCAGGAUUUAAAAUCAGUAACCGUUGAAACGGAAUUUGAAGGUCGAGAAAAGAAAGAAGUUACACGGACUGAAAUCAGACUAGUAUGAAAGCUGCGGAACUACGGAAAUACCUUUUUUGGUGAAAAUUUCAAUUACGAAAAUGGCAGGGUGAGAGGGAGCGUCAUAGUGAUGCAGUAUGGAGCUCACCCAGGGGGUCGACACUGCCAUGUAUUGGGGUGUAACGCUUUAUGCACUACCGCCAUCUUCGGUUGGAGUAAACCUUCUUUGCGAACUAAAAUAUU
rnacentral:misc_RNA from 1 species